UACGGAAGGCAGCAGUGGGGAAUAUUGCACAAUGGGCGAAAGCCUGAUGCAGCUAUGCCGCGUGUAUGAAGAAGGCCUUAGGGUUGUAAAGUACUUUCAUCGGGGAGGAAAAACAAAACUAAUAAUUUUAUUUCUUGACGUUACCCGAAAAAGAAGCACCGGCUAACUCCGUGCCAGCAGCCGCGGUAAUACGGAGGGUGCUAGCGUUAAUCAGAAUUACUGGGCGUAAAGAGCACGUAGGUGGUUUUUUUAAGUCAGAUGUGAAAUCCCUGGGCUUAACCUAGGAACUGCAUUUUGAAACUGAAAUACUAGAGUAUCGUAGAGGGAGGUAGAAUUCUAGGUGUAGCGGUGAAAUGCGUAGAUAUCUGGAGGAAUACCUGUGGCGAAAGGCGGCCUCCUAAACGAAUACUGACACUGAGGGUGCGAAAGCGUGGGGAGCAAACAGGGAUUAGAUACC
rnacentral:rRNA from 1 species